rnacentral:lncRNA from 1 species
CAUACUCUCCUUGUCUACAUUCUCUCUAAAAGCUUUAUAUCUCUUCUUACAAAAGUUCUGAUUAUUUUUAGAAGAGAAAAUUGGUCCAAGUAUUGAGAUAAGUUUAAUCUUUGUUGAGUUAUUUCUUACUUGCUUUACAUAUAUAUAGAUAUACUAAUACACAUUGUUAUACAUAAUUUUAUAUAUCUAUAUUUCAUCUAUUUGUCAAAUAAAAGGAUAUUUGGGCGCCGCAAGGCUACGGAGAUACACCUCUAUGGAGAGGAAUUCGAACCGUACGAUUUCUUAUAGUCUUCAGUAACCUUUUAUCGACAUUAUUUAUAUAAAUAUCGUAAAAUAGAUACGACACUUGAUAGCUCAAAACGACACUGAGAUAUUCCUCCAAAAAGAGGAGUCAUCCGAACUGGAUUUGAGAAUCGUAGUGAUCUAUUGAAAAUAUUUAUAUAAAUAUCAAUUAUAAAAUUUAUAAAUUUUGUUGAACUUAGACACCGCAAGGCUACGGAGACACACCUCUAUAAAGAGGAAUUCGAACCGUACGAUUCCUUGUAGUACUAAGUGACAUUAUUUAUAAAAGUUCACAUAAUAGAUAAAAUAUCCUUAUAUAUUAUCUGUGUUAAACAAUAAUAUUUGUUAUAUCAACUUAUGCUUAACUGAUUUAAUUAUUAUACUUGAUAAAUAUUAUUGAUUGUUUCUUUUUAUAUACAAGUAUUGAUACAUAAAAAAUCAUUCUUAUAAUACUUGUUAAAAAUUAUCUGAGACAUAAUCCUGCUUAAUUCAUAGAAAAACACUCUUUAUUUUAAAGAAUUAAUAAUUCUUUAUAAAUUACAUGAAAAUUAUAUAUCUGCUUAACCAGAAACAUUUUUGAGCUAAAACAAAAAAAUUAACUUAUCUGCUUAUUCUAGAAGCAUCUCUCUAAAACAUAAGAUUUACUUGAACUUUUAUAACUGUGCAUAUUUUAUAUAUUUGCUUAAUCAGAAGCAUCAAUUGAUCUAAGCAUAAAUUUCUAUCUGCUUUCAAAGAAGCAUAUUUUUUAAAUAUAAAAGUCUUUGAACUUUUAUAAAUAUAUAUCUGUACUAAAUUAAUAUCUGCUUACUUGAGAAGCAUUCAUCUGUACUAAAUUGUUAUCUGCUUAUUUGAGAAGCACAUUAUUGUAAAAUUAUUUGUAAAAAAAAGAAAAAGGUCAAAGUUAGUUUAUUUUAUGUACCUGUGAGAAAGACGAGUAAUUUUUCGACCAAGACCAGAGUUUUAGAGAGGUCAGCGGGAAGUUGGGUCUCUAGUGUACUUGUGAGGUGAGGAAGAGGCUGUUGUUUCAAGACCAGAUCAUAGAAUAGAAUUGAACUCAAAAGGAAGAACAACUAAACUUGAGGAGGGAGUGAGGAGCUUGCUGUCCAAGAUUGAAUAGUAAAAAUAGUUGGAAGUUUGUCUAUAAAACUUUGUAAAGGCUUCUCCGCCUGUUGAAGGAGUUUUUAUUACAGAUAGUAAUACGAUCUCAAGUUCCUAGUAAGGACUUGAGAUUGGACGUAGCAACAUACCAAGGGGUGUAU